UGAGAACACAGCACACAUAUAAAGUAGAACUAAUUGACUGGAAAUGAAUUAGAAUUUUUGAAUUAAAAUUUAAUUAUACAAGUAAUACAUGAAUACAUUUUCCUUUCAAUAAGAUUAGAGUAUUACAGAUAAAGAAGUCUCUACUGAAUACACCCCACCCCCAGCCUCCAGCAAGACCCCUCUCGCCCUGCUGAGCUGAUUAUUACAACAUGAUGGAUUGACUAGUUCAUUCUCUCCACUGAGCUGAGAUGAAGCUCCCUCACACACUGAAUCGCCAUGUCUAGACACACACAAAGUGAACGUCCUUCCUCCCUGGACACAAACAUGCAAGCACUGCCAAACAUGCAGAGCUGACAUAAUUGGCUGGAAAUGAAUGGGAAUUUUUCCAAAUUAAAGUUUAAUGACACAAGCGCAACAUGAAUACAUUCUCCUUUUUAAGAAAUAGAACAUUGCCAAUGAAGCUCAAGUCCCUUUUGGCCACCCACUGCCAUCCCAUUUCCUUCUUCUUCCCCCGAGGCUGCCACUGUGAUGGGCUCAGUGUUCACUUUCUAAAAACUCGUAAGUACAUAGUAGGUCCCCGUGGGGAUUGAUGGUAUCGUUGACUCAAAUGAUGAGAAGUUUAUCUUUUCCUUUUCACUUUUCAUUGAGAGUCAGUUUUUGUAUUGACCUGGAUUUUAUUGAUGUUAUAGUUACUGAAUGGAAUGUCAAUAUCAUCCAUCAUAACGUUAAAGUGAAGAUACGGAAGCUGGGAGACAGCAGUGGAGGGAAGCGGGUCAGAGGACUGACAGGGGUGCAGGGGGAGGCACAGGAGCAUCUGUGGACACACAGUGGAGUCAGUCAGGAGUGGAGAGGAAGUAGAUUUCUUAAAAUGAGACCAUAAUUCAGAAAGAUACGUGCACCGCAGUGUUCACUGCAGCACUGUUUACAAUAGCCAGGACGUGGAGGCAACCUAAAUGUCCAUCAACAGAAGAAUGGAUAAACAAUGGAUAUUACUUAGCCACAAAAAGCAAUGAAAUUGGAUCAUUUGUAGAGACAUGGAUGGACCUAGAGUCCAUCAUAGAGUGGAGUAAGUCAGAAAGAG
ensembl:lncRNA